rnacentral:rRNA from 1 species
UGGGGAAUAUUGCACAAUGGACGGAAGUUUGAUGCAGCGACGCCGCGUGGAGGGUGUAGGCCUUCGGGUUGUGAACUCCUUUUUCUCGCGAAAAAGGCACAGUGUUGGCUGUGUUGAUGGUAGUGGGGGAAGAAGCGCCGGCUAACUACGUGCCAGCAGCCGCGGUAAUACGUAGGGCGCGAGCGGUGUCCGGAUUUAUUGGGCGUAAAGAGCUCGUAGGUGGUUCGUGGCGUCGGUCGUGAAAGCCAGCAGCUUAACUGUUGGUCUGCGGUGGGUACGGGCGGGCUUGAGUGCGGUAGGGGUGACUGGAAUUCCUGGUUUAGCGGGGGAAUGCGCAGAUAUCAGGAGGAACACCGAUGGCGAAGGCAGGUCACUGGGCCGUUACUGACACUGAGGAGCGAAAGCGUGGGGAGCGAACAGG